rnacentral:rRNA from 1 species
UACGUAGGGUGCGAGCGUUGUCCGGAAUUAUUGGGCGUAAAGAGCUUGUAGGCGGUUUGUCGCGUCUGCUGUGAAAUUUCGGGGCUCAACCCCGAACUUGCAGUGGGUACGGGCAGACUAGAGUGUGGUAGGGGAGACUGGAAUUCCUGGUGUAGCGGUGAAAUGCGCAGAUAUCAGGAGGAACACCGAUGGCGAAGGCAGGUCUCUGGGCAGUAACUGACGCUGAGGAGCGAAAGCGUGGGGAGCGAACAGG